UGAGAUGUGUCACCUGUCCUAAGUUAUUUCUUCACCUUGUGCCAGCAUGGACAAAAAGCUUUCAAAUGCUCCAUGACAAAUGAUGGACAUUAUGUUCAUGCUGCUGUCUGUGACUCUGCAAUAGACAUGGUCUUUAACACAGUAAAACAUUACAGCCACUGACAGGUGAAGUGAAUAACAGUGAUGAGCUCGUUACAGCCACCUGUCAGUGGGUGGAGUUUAUAAAGCAGCAAGACAACAGCGUCCAAAGGACAGAUGGUGAAGUGGGGACAGGGUCACGGACGGUCACUGGCUUGAUGGCAACGAACCCAGCAGAGGGACGACAUCAGCAGUCUGGCCUUUUCUUGGGACUUGCCACCACUAAUUCAGAGAUGGCUAUUUCAAUGUGUGGCAAUCCUUAACCAGAUGUCAUUCUAUGGCCAGAUCACCAGCAGUAUUCUUGAUGACAUGCAUAAAGACGGGCAAGU